rnacentral:rRNA from 1 species
GAUGAACGCUGGCGGCGUGCCUAAUACAUGCAAGUCGAGCGAACAGACGAGGAGCUUGCUCCUCUGACGUUAGCGGCGGACGGGUGAGUAACACGUGGAUAACCUACCUAUAAGACUGGGAUAACUUCGGGAAGCCGGAGCUAAUACCGGAUAAUAUAUUGAACCGCAUGGUUCAAUAGUGAAAGACGGUUUUGCGGUCACUUAUAGAUGGAUCCGCGCCGCAUUAGCUAGUUGGUAAGGUAACGGCUUACCAAGGCGACGAUGCGUAGCCGACCUGAGAGGGUGAUCGGCCACACUGGAACUGGGACACGGUCCAGACUCCUACGGGAGGCAGCAGUAGGGAAUCUUCCGCAAUGGGCGAAAGCCUGACGGAGCAACGCCGCGUGAGUGAUGGCGGUCUUCGGAUCGUAAAACUCUGUUAUUAGGGGAGAACAAAUGUGUAAGUAACUAUGCACUUCUUGACGGUACCUAAUCAGAAAGCCCCGGCUAACUACGUG